GGGAAAAAAUUGCUUUUGCUUCUGUUGAUUCCCUAGUUGAAACUAAGUGGGCAUGGAAAGUGCUCGAGGGCUGUUGUAGCAGAGACCUGUGUGAUAACCGUGUGACUAGGAGUCGAGAAAGUUAAGUGUUUUAUUACUUCUCUAAACAGAGGGCAAGUCUUAAAAGUCUGCUCGAUUUAUAGUGAACAGAAACCAGCUGCCGUAAAGAAACUCCAAAUAGAAUCCUCGCCCUGCACUGAAAAUCAGGAUUCUGGGGAGAAAAGGGAGAGAAAGAGGAGGGAGUGAAAAAAAUACAGCACAACCACCCCCAAAACCGCACCAUUCAAAUAUGUUUUCCUCAUUGCGAUUCCUCACGGUUUGAAUGCACUGAUUCUAUAUAUAUAUAUAGAAUGAUUAUUGCUAUUUUUUUGUCGUCUCAUUGAUAUUUUCUAACAGUUUGGGGCUGACUCGAAAGUAUUUCACCAAGCUAUGCCACUACCCAAAAGGUAUUUAUUUCCCCCCCCCAAACACGGAGAGGGAAUAUGUGGGGCGCUUUCUGGUUAAAUUGGUCUGCAAACAAUUAUGUAAACUCAUCAGCAGAAGCAAGAACAGAUGUUUUAUUAAAAGUGCUACACAGCAGUAGAAAUAUGGACAAGUCUUCGAGUAGCUCUUUAAUACGAGUUGUUCUUUGUUCCCAGGAAAGAAAAGCGCCCAUAGAAAUCUGAAAUAACACCCACCACUCAUAAGCCAUAUUUACCACCCCCCCUGCCCUUUAUUUUUUCAUCUCCCCCCACUGAUGCUCACACAGAGAGGGGAAAAAUAUAUAUAUAUAUAUAUAGGAAGAAAAAAAUACGAGUCGGGAGAUUUCCUCCCCCCCCUCCCAGCUUUAAUUAGCAAAUUGAUGAACUGAUUUAGGGAAAGGGAAAAAAAAAAAAAGAGGCUUAAAAAAAAAAUACAUGCAAUCCCAACACAUGUGUUUUCUAUCCCCCAGUAAUUACUGAAAGGAAACGAAUCCAAAUCGGUGUCCCCCCCCCGGCCGCCUGCCCCUCCCCGCCUGCAGAUCCCGCUACUGGCAGCGCUGCUGCCCGGCCCUGCGGCCGCUCGGGCUCUUUGGGGGGGUUCGGGGGGGGUUUUGCUGUUUCUUUCCCAGCCACGUUGUGUAUUUGGGGCUGAUUCCCGCGUGGGGCAAAAGAUGGGGGUGUCCCCCCCCGCCUCGCCCACGCGUGUUGCGUUGGGAGGUGCACACCCCCCGCCACUACUUGCCCCCCGCAGCCACUUGGACAUUCAAAUUAUUCGAGCAGGGCGAGGGGGGGGUUACUGUAAACUGCUGCCAAAAUGGCUCUAUGGGGAUGCUCUAAAGGGGGGGGGGGCUUACUCUCAUCACCCCCCCCAAAAUAAACCCCACACCUGCUUGUUUAAGGCCCAUGCACCCCCCGGCUAUGGGGCCGUGAGCCUGCGCGCCCACAUCGGAUCAAACCCUCGAAGCUUUUAGAGGUAAAUACAAGUGAUGCCAUUAAAAGGCUUUUUAUUUAAACUGAUUUCACCUUGUAUCUGGGAUCUCUGCCUCCCCCCGCCCCCCCCCCGCUUCGCUUUCUUUUUUAACUUGACAUUUAUGGCACACGUGAGUCCUAAUUAUUUAUUUGGGUCUUUCGCUGGGAAUUUAUUCCUGCUCUUUACAACGGGGGUUAUUCCUAGUCAAAUAUUGCUUUUUGCUGUAAAUAACGCUGGGGGGGUGAGGGGGGGGCGGGAAAUAAGGGUCAAAAAUAAGGAGAACACCCUCCCAAAUAAAAGGGGGGGCAACGGGAUAACAAGCAACCAAGUCUCGGCGGUUUAUAUGGGGGUUUAUUUCUCUCUCCCCCAGCCUGAAGUGCUUCGCAUUGUUUUGGAGCCGUCUCUGCUCUCUGUAAUUACAACCUCGGAGUCAGAGUCUGAACAGCUCUUAAUUAAAUAAACCAAGGAGAUGAAAUCUCCCUUUUAUCCCGAAUACUUUUAUUCGGAGCUUCAAGUUUUAUCCCUCCGCGUUGGGGAGGGGGCGGCCUAUUUGGGAGGCUUAUUUCUUAAUUAAAAGGCGCUUUCUGCAGCAAGAUGCACGAAGCCAUUAUUAGCGAAAACACCCAUUUCCCCCCAUAUCUUCCCGAGCAAAAAACCACACCCAGCGGCAUUUCAGUUAUUUUUCCUUAAUACAAACCUUCCCAAACCCCCUUUUCCCCCCGCUCUAGGUGAAUAAAGAUUAUUUACCACCCCGUAGAGUUACCCAGACGAGUCAUUUCUUUGCUUUUUCCUAUGGCUUUUUUUUUUUGUUGCUUUCAGCGCCAUGGAGGGAAAUGGGUUUAAACGUGUUCGCGUUAUUUUAUUCGCUGAGUUGCUUUGGGAAAGUGGAGCAAAAGUUCAGGGCAACUCCAAGUUGCAGCGCGAUUAAAAAUACAGAGAAGAAGAAUCAUAAUAAUGGAGGGGAGAAGGGGGGAAAUAAGGGUUUUCUCGCUUGUAAAACCACUCAAUCGCUUCACAGAUUUGCAGGGGUUGGAGGGUGAAAAACAAGGGGGAAUUCUGGCAAUUGUCAAAACACAUGUCUGCUGAGCAGGAAGCUGGAGGUGUGCGGAGAAGAGAAAUUAAUCCGCUCCUACUCCUCAAAUUCAUCCCUCUUCUUUCUGCCGAGCUUGAAAGCGCUUUGGAGCCUUUAUUCAGAUUUUUCCCCGCGACGGGAGGAGGUUUUAAUUCUCAAAUAGAUAUAUUUUUAUACAUAUAUAUAUAUAUAUAUCUAAGGGGGGGGGGUGAUUGAUUUCAUUUAUUUCUCUCCUUCCCCAGAUUUAUUGGCGAAUCUCAGCCCAACAAAAGGAGGCAGCACCGAAAAUCUCCCCGCGGAAACGGGACUUCGCUGGCUCUUAAAUGACCGAGUAACCGCGUUGAGGGAAGAAAAAGGAGCCAAAAACAAAAGUUAGCAGAGAAAAUAGAAGCGAAGGGGGAACCUCCCCUGUUAAACCGCCGCAAUUAAAUGGGAUUUGCUGAUUAAACGCCCCGCUGAAUCAAUCUCAGCGCUGGGAAAGGGACCCCCACCCCCCUUUUUUUCUUGGGGGGGUGUGUGGGGGGGAAAUCUUCAUAUUUGAAGGGGUGUAAAGCGCUUUGUUUAUAGGGAGGGGUCUGCGGGAUAUUCCUGGUGCUUCCUUUGCUAAAAGUGGGCUUAAUGGUGCUUUGGGGUUUUAUUUAAGCUCCGUUUAAAUUCAGUUGGAUCCAAGAAAAUACCUUUUGGCCCCCAAACCUGCCCAGGUGACAGGUAGCAACUUUUUCUCAGGGAAAAAAAGAUACAUAUAUAUAUAUAUAUGGAUAUAUAUAUGGAGAUAUAUAUGUGUGUGUAUAUAUAUAUAUGGAGAUAUAUAUAUCCCCCUUUCAGCUUUUAAUUCGUGUUUCUCUCAAAUUUGGGGUCUCUUUUCAUGACAGAGCGGGAAUAUUUCCUAAAACCCCCCCAAAAUGAACCAAAACCGACAAUGGCGCUCAUGACGUCAUACCCGUCGCGGCCAAGAGUUUGUGGCGUAAAAUGAGGGGGAAAAAGCGACUUUUUGCUGCAUCCGCGUGUGUUUCUAUACGUGUGUCUAUAUGUAUAUAUAUAUAUAUGGAGAGAUGCAAUUACUUCUGCGGGGUGUAGAGAUUAAAAAUAAGAAGGGAGGGGGUGUUAUUACGUUCUGCAAGGGUAACUCAGGAGUGAAGAAUUGUUGUCAUUAACUAUAGGCACUUUUAUCCUUUAUUCUUCGCAGAUCCGAAGGCAGAAAUUUAAUCAUAGGUGACUCGGAAUAAAAAUAAUUCAGGAAACAAUAA